rnacentral:tRNA from 1 species
GGUUCUGUGGUGUAAUGGUCAGCACUCUGGACUCUGAAUCCAGCGAUCCGAGUUCAAAUCUCGGCAGGACCU